rnacentral:rRNA from 1 species
UGGGGAAUAUUGGGCAAUGGGCGCAAGCCUGACCCAGCAACGCCGCGUGAAGGAAGAAGGCUUUCGGGUUGUAAACUUCUUUUAUCAGGGACGAAGCAAGUGACGGUACCUGAUGAAUAAGCCACGGCUAACUACGUGCCAGCAGCCGCGGUAAUACGUAGGUGGCGAGCGUUAUCCGGAUUUACUGGGUGUAAAGGGCGUGUAGGCGGGCUUGCAAGUCAGAUGUGAAAUUUCCAGGGCUCAACCCUGGAACUGCAUUUGAAACUGUAGUUCUUGAGUGCUGGAGAGGCAAUCGGAAUUCCGUGUGUAGCGGUGAAAUGCGUAGAUAUACGGAGGAACACCAGUGGCGAAGGCGGAUUGCUGGACAGUAACUGACGCUGAGGCGCGAAAGCGUGGGGAGCAAACAGGAUUAGAUACCC